GUUGUGUUGUUCCCUAGAGGAGUGGCUUUCGGAGCUAACGCGUUAAAUCGACCGCCUGGGGAGUACGGCCGCAAGGUUAAAACUCAAAUGAAUUGACGGGGGCCCGCACAAGCGGUGGAGCAUGUGGUUUAAUUCGAUGCAACGCGAAGAACCUUACCUACUCUUGACAUCCAGAGAAYUUAGCAGAGAUGCUUURGUGCCUUCGGGAACUCUGAGACAGGUGCUGCAUGGCUGUCGUCAGCUCGUGUUGUGAAAUGUUGGGUUAAGUCCCGCAACGAGCGCAACCCUUAUCCUUUGUUGCCAGCGAUUCGGUCGGGAACUCAAAGGAGACUGCCGGUGAUAAACCGGAGGAAGGUGGGGAUGACGUCAAGUCAUCAUGGCCCUUACGAGUAGGGCUACACACGUGCUACAAUGGCGUAUACAAAGAGAAGCGACCUCGCGAGAGCAAGCGGAACUCAUAAAGUACGUCGUAGUCCGGAUUGGAGUCUGCAACUCGACUCCAUGAAGUCGGAAUCGCUAGUAAUCGUAGAUCAGAAUGCUACGGUGAAUACGUUCCCGGGCCUUGUACACACCGCCCGUCACACCAUGGGAGUGGGUUGCAAAAGAAGUAGGUAGCUUAACCUUCGGGAGGGCGCUUACCACUUUGUGAUUCAUGACUGGGGUGAAGUCGUAACAAGGUAACCGUAGGGGAACCUGCGGUUGGAUCACCUCCUUA
rnacentral:rRNA from 1 species